UACGGAGGGUGCAAGCGUUAUCCGGAUUUACUGGGUUUAAAGGGUGCGUAGGUGGGUCUGUAAGUCAGUGGUGAAAUCUCCGAGCUUAACUCGGAAACUGCCAUUGAUACUAUAGAUCUUGAAUUAUCUGGAGGUAAGCGGAAUAUGUCAUGUAGCGGUGAAAUGCUUAGAUAUACAUAGAACACCAAUUGCGAAGGCAGCUUACUACGGAUCGAUUACACUGAGGCACGAAAGCGUGGGGGAUCAAACAGG
rnacentral:rRNA from 1 species